AGACACUGCAGCCUCCUGAGGGGAUGUGCUGUGACUGUGUGGGCAGACUGCUGAAGCCUUCUGAAGAGGUACUGGAAGGUGCUCCAAUGUCUCCCCAGAGCCUUUCCUUCUCCAGGCUGAACAUCUGCAGCUCUCUCAGGCUGUCCUUGUAGGAGAGGUCUUCAGCCUCCUGAAGGUCUCAGGUGAAAAUAAAGUCUUCAAGUAGGAGUACCUGGAGCAGGAAAGGAGCACCCAUGCUUAGUACAGGCGGUGACCUUGAGAUGCUUUUUGAGAUACUUCACAUGACAUUAAACAUCUGAAACAUCUGGAGAUGCGUCUGACCUUGGCCCUGCUGAAAGCCCAAGAGGAAAAACCCCACCAAAGUGAGAGAUUUGACUGCCUGGACCUUACAACAGGUACCAAGCUUUGCCCCACAAUCCCUGAGCUGUAUCUGCUUGAAGAGCUUUUUGUUUUAUCUGCUCUGGUCACCAACAAGCCACCCUAAAUAGGACUGGGUUGUUGUUUCACAUUCUUGGUGAUAAUUCCUAGUACAACAUGUCCCAAAAUACUUUCUGUAGCUUGGAAGCUCUGCUCUUAGGGUCUGAUCCAAUACUCACUGAAGUCAAUAAGUCUCCCUAUUGAUUUCAGUUGUCUUUGGAUUAGAUCCUUGUUUAGGGGCUAUAAAUAUAUCACUGGAGGGGAAAAACUCAUCCCAGACUUCGCGAUAGAUUUUUUUUUCCCCUCAAGUUUUCUUCUUUCUCAUUCUCUUGUGUUUUGGUCAAACGCAGUCUGUCAAGCUCUGUUGCAUUUCCUAAUCUUCACUGUUGUGACAGACUUCAGGCCAGCAGAAAGACAAGCCUAAAAUUAUGGAAAUUAGGUGUAAUUUUUUAUGAUGCUGUCUAAGACAUUUUCAAUAAAGCAGAGUGAGAGAUCGCUUUGCCA